GGAUGUGAGGGUGAUCUGGCUACAACAUCUGUCACCCCAUUGAUGGCCAGGAUUCAUUCAGCUGAUCUGGCUGGCUAGGUGGGUGUCCCCUUCCUCCCUCAGCUCUCCAUGUGCAUCCCUCCCACAGCUGUGAGCUCAAAGAAGACAACCUUCUCCAAUAGAGGAGGACCGUUCUUCAAUCAAGAAUAUACAAGUAGCUGCACUCCUCUACUAGAACCUCCAAACAAGCUCUCAAAAUGACCUUUACACUUAAUCAAGAGUUCUUGUGCCUGUCAUCUCCAUACUUGGAAUCUUAAUAACCUAU
rnacentral:snRNA from 1 species